GAUGAACGCUGGCGGCGUGCCUAAUACAUGCAAGUCGAGCGAACAGACGAGGAGCUUGCUCCUCUGACGUUAGCGGCGGACGGGUGAGUAACACGUGGAUAAACUACCUAUAAGACUGGGAUAACGUCGGGAAACCGGAGCUAAUACCGGAUAAUAUAUUGAACCGCAUGGUUCAAUAGUGAAAGACGGUUUUGCUGUCACUUAUAGAUGGAUCCGCGCCGCAUUAGCUAGUUGGUAAGGUAACGGCUUACCAAGGCAACGAUGCGUAGCCGACCUGAGAGGGUGAUCGGCCACACUGGAACUGAGACACGGUCCAGACUCCUACGGGAGGCAGCAGUAGGGAAUCUUCCGCAAUGGGCGAAAGCCUGACGGAGCAACGCCGCGUGAGUGAUGAAGGUCUUCGGAUCGUAAAACUCUGUUAUUAGGGAAGAACAAAUGUGUAAGUACCUAUGCACGUCUUGACGGUACCUAAUCAGAAAGCCACGGCUAACUACGUG
rnacentral:rRNA from 1 species